CCUACGGGGGGCAGCAGUGGGGAAUAUUGCACAAUGGGCGCAAGCCUGAUGCAGCGACGCCGCGUGAGGGAUGACGGCCUUCGGGUUGUAAACCUCUUUCAGCUCCGACGAAGCGCAAGUGACGGUAGGAGCAGAAGAAGCACCGGCCAACUACGUGCCAGCAGCCGCGGUAAUACGUAGGGUGCAAGCGUUGUCCGGAAUUACUGGGCGUAAAGAGCUCGUAGGCGGUUUGUCGCGUCGUCUGUGAAAUUCUGCAGCUUAACUGCAGGCGUGCA
rnacentral:rRNA from 1 species